rnacentral:rRNA from 1 species
UACGAAGGGGGCUAGCGUUGCUCGGAAUCACUGGGCGUAAAGCGCACGUAGGCGGAUCUUUAAGUCAGGGGUGAAAUCCCGGAGCUCAACUCCGGAACUGCCUUUGAUACUGGAGAUCUUGAGUCCGGGAGAGGUGAGUGGAACUGCGAGUGUAGAGGUGAAAUUCGUAGAUAUUCGCAAGAACACCAGCGGCGAAGGCGGCUCACUGGCCCGGUACUGACGCUGAGGUGCGAAAGCGUGGGGAGCAAACAGG